CCUACGGGUGGCAGCAGUGGGGAAUAUUGGGCAAUGGGCGCAAGCCUGACCCAGCAACGCCGCGUGAAGGAAGAAGGCUUUCGGGUUGUAAACUUCUUUUCUGAAGGACGAAGAAAGUGACGGUACCUCAGGAAUAAGCCACGGCUAACUACGUGCCAGCAGCCGCGGUAAUACGUUGGUAGCAAGCGUUAUCAGGAUUUAUUGGGUGUAAGGGGUGUGUAGGCGGGAAAGCAAGUCAGGUGUUAAAACUCAGGGCUCAACCCUGAGCCUGCAGUUGAAACUGGUAUUCUUGAGUGCUGGAGAGGCAAGCGGAAUUCGGGGUGUAGCGGUGAAAUGCGUAGAUAUAGGGAGGAACACCAGUUGCGAAGGCAGAUUGCUGGACAGUAACUGACGCUGAGGCGCGAAAGCGUGGGGAGCAAACAGGAUUAGAUACCCUUGUAGUC
rnacentral:rRNA from 1 species